rnacentral:rRNA from 1 species
GAUGAACGCUAGCGAUAGGCUUAACACAUGCAAGUCGAGGGGCAGCAUGGUCUUAGCUUGCUAAGACUGAUGGCGACCGGCGCACGGGUGCGUAACGCGUAUGCAGCUUGCCUCACAGAGGGGGAUAACCCGUCGAAAGACGGACUAAUACCGCGUACACUUGGGAUAGGGCAUCCUGACCCAAGGAAAUGAAAUUCGCUGUGAGAUAGGCAUGCGUCCCAUUAGCUAGUUGGUGAGGUAACGGCUCACCAAGGCGACGAUGGGUAGGGGAACUGAGAGGUUGAACCCCCACACUGGUACUGAGACACGGACCAGACUCCUACGGGAGGCAGCAGUGAGGAAUAUUGGUCAAUGGGCGAGAGCCUGAACCAGCCAAGUCGCGUGAAGGAUGACUGUCUUAUGGAUUGUAAACUUCUUUUAUACGGGAAUAACAAGAGCCACGUGUGGCUCCCUGCAUGUACCGUAUGAAUAAGCAUCGGCUAACUCCGUG